UACGUAGGGUGCAAGCGUUAAUCGGAAUUACUGGGCGUAAAGCGUGCGCAGGCGGUCCGCUAAGACAGAUGUGAAAUCCCCGGGCUUAACCUGGGAACUGCAUUUGUGACUGGCGGGCUAGAGUAUGGCAGAGGGGGGUAGAAUUCCACGUGUAGCAGUGAAAUGCGUAGAGAUGUGGAGGAACACCGAUGGCGAAGGCAGCCCCCUGGGCUGAGAUUGACGCUCAGGCACGAAAGCGUGGGGAGCAAACAGG
rnacentral:rRNA from 1 species